AUGAACGCUGGCGGCGUGCCUAAUACAUGCAAGUCGAGCGAACAGACGAGGAGCUUGCUCCUCUGACGUUAGCGACGGACGGGUGAGUAACACGUGGAUAACCUACCUAUAAGACUGGGAUAACUUCGGGAAACCGGAGCUAAUACCGGAUAAUAUAUUGAACCGCAUGGUUCAAUAGUGAAAGACGGUUUUGCUGUCACUUAUAGAUGGAUCCGCGCCGCAUUAGCUAGUUGGUAAGGUAACGGCUUACCAAGGCAACGAUGCGUAGCCGACCUGAGAGGGUGAUCGGCCACACUGGAACUGAGACACGGUCCAGACUCCUACGGGAGGCAGCAGUAGGGAAUCUUCCGCAAUGGGCGAAAGCCUGACGGAGCAACGCCGCGUGAGUGAUGAAGGUCUUCGGAUCGUAAAACUCUGUUAUUAGGGAAGAACAAAUGUGUAAGUAACUAUGCACGUCUUGACGGUACCUAAUCAGAAAGCCACGGCUAACUACGUG
rnacentral:rRNA from 1 species